AAGGGUGAACAGGUAGCAGCUAGGGUCACAGGUAAUAAUGCUGAAAAGGAUGAGUGGUUCAUUGUAAAAGUGAUGCAUUUUGAUAGGGAAACAAAAGAAUUUGAAGUGCUUGAUGAGGAGCCAGGCGACGAUGAAGAGGGUGGUGGCCAAAGAAAGUACAAGCUGCCCAUGUCAUGUAUUAUACCUUUCCCCAAGAAAAAUGAUCCAUCUUGUGCACAUGAUUUUCCUCCUGGAAGACAUGUUUUGGCUGUUUAUCCAGGAACGACAGCACUCUAUAAGGCAACUGUUGUCAGUCCGCCGCGGAAGAGAAAGACAGAAGAGUAUUUACUAGAAUUUGAUGAUGACGAGGAAGAUGGAGCCUUGCCACAGAGGGCAGUACCCUUUUACAAUGUGGUUCCCUUGCCAGAGGGACACCGUCAGUGAAUCCUUGUUUAUAGCUGUGUAUAAUUAAAGUUGUUGUGUAGUGUUAUACCCUACCCCAGGCAAUAUUGUUUCCCCCUUUCUCCCCUUCCUUUCAACUAAAAGGGACACAGUGAUGUACCAAACUCCUUCCUUAUUUGAGCCAUAAAAGUAGUGUAGUUGAACUUUGCUUGAAAAUUAGGGAGUCGGGCUAGAUUUUCUUUUUCUCAAGUGCAAAUGCAGGAUUGCCACAGAAAAUGGAUAGUAGCAUCAAGGCUGCCAGGGUGAAAAAUAUUGCAUAAUCCUCUGUAAAUAAUUGGCAUGGUCAGUGUAUCUUUGGCAAUCUAAGUAUGAUGAACUAGCAAAAAA
rnacentral:misc_RNA from 1 species